rnacentral:tRNA from 1 species
AUAAAGAUAAGCUAAACCACAAGCUCGUGGGUUCAUACCCCAUUUAUAGGAAUUAUCCUUCUUUAUA